GAUGAACGCUGGCGGCGUGCUUAACACAUGCAAGUCGAACGGUGAAGCAGGAGCUUGCUCUUGUGGAUCAGUGGCGAACGGGUGAGUAACACGUGAGCAACCUGCCCCUGACUCUGGGAUAAGCGCUGGAAACGGCGUCUAAUACUGGAUAUGUGAUGUGACCGCAUGGUCUGCAUCUGGAAAGAAUUUCGGUUGGGGAUGGGCUCGCGGCCUAUCAGCUUGUUGGUGAGGUAAUGGCUCACCAAGGCGUCGACGGUUAGCCGGCCUGCGAGGGUGACCGGCCACACUGGGACUGAGACACGGCCCAGACUCCUACGGGAGGCAGCAGUGGGGAAUAUUGCACAAUGGGCGGAAGCCUGAUGCAGCAACGCCGCGUGAGGGAUGACGGCCUUCGGGUUGUAAACCUCUUUUGGCAGGGAAGAAGCGAAAGUGACGGUACCUGCAGAAAAAGCACCGGCUAACUACGUGCCAGCCGCCGCAGUAA
rnacentral:rRNA from 1 species